GCCGCGUGAAUGAAGAAGGCCUUAGGGUCGUAAAGUUCUGUCCUUAGGGAAGAACCGUGGGUAUAGCAAAUGAUACCCACCUGACGGUACCUUUGGAGGAAGCACUGGCUAACUACGUGCCAGCAGCCGCGGUAAUACGUAGAGUGCAAGCGUUGUCCGGAAUUAUUGGGCGUAAAGGGUACGCAGGCGGAUAGUAAAGUCAAGCGUGAAAGGUGUCGGCUUAACCGACAGACUGCGUUUGAAACUGAUUAUCUUGAGUGUAACAGAGGAGAGUGGAAUUCCUAGUGUAGUGGUGAAAUACGUAGAUAUUAGGAAGAACACCAGUGGCGAAGGCGACUCUCUGGGUUA
rnacentral:rRNA from 1 species